rnacentral:lncRNA from 12 species
UAUCCCUGUAAUGCCUCAUAUGCAGGUGUCACCAAGCAAUCCUCCUCUCUCUCAGGAAAGACAGAGGUAGCGGCGGCCCUGUGUCACUAUUAUGACACUGCUCACUUGUCCAUUGACACCGUGGUGAAAGAGGCCAUUGCCAAUGAUCAGAGCCAAGCAGGGUGCCAGGCCCGGGAGCUUUGCACUAAGGAUGCCAUGGAGCUGAAAGCUGAGGAUGAAGGUAGAAAUUCUGAGCUCAGUGCUCAGAGCAAGAAUAAACAAGCCUCUGGGGGAAAAAACAACAAGAAGAAUGGCAAAGGCAAGAUUCCUUCAGCACAAAAGAAGAAGGAGCCAGUGAGUAAAGGCGACAAAAAGGUAAGCAUGAUCUGCCCUGGUUGAUGCCUGGGACCUUUGCAUUGUCUUUGAGAUGGGCAGGGGCUGCUUACAGUGGAGGCUGUGUAUCAGCCA